GCUCUCUUUGGCAGCUUAUCAUAAAAUUGGAAUCAUACAGAGAAAAUGAGUAUGGCCCCUAUGCAAGCAGGACACUCAAAUUGGUGAAGCAUUCCAUAUCUUU
ensembl:snRNA U6 U6 spliceosomal RNA